GAUGAACGCUGGCGGCGUGCCUAAUACAUGCAAGUCGAGCGAACGGACGAGGAGCUUGCUUCUCUGAUGUUAGCGGCGGACGGGUGAGUAACACGUGGAUAACCUACCUAUAAGACUGGGAUAACUUCGGGAAACCGUAGCUAAUACCGGAUAAUAUUUUGAACCGCAUGGUUCAAUAGUGAAAGACGGUCUUGCUGUCACUUAUAGAUGGAUCCGCGCUGCAUUAGCUAGUUGGUAAGGUAACGGCUUACCAAGGCAACGAUGCAUAGCCGACCUGAGAGGGUGAUCGGCCACACUGGAACUGAGACACGGUCCAGACUCCUACGGGAGGCAGCAGUAGGGAAUCUUCCGCAAUGGGCGAAAGCCUGACGGAGCAACGCCGCGUGAGUGAUGAAGGUCUUCGGAUCGUAAAACUCUGUUAUUAGGGAAGAACAAAUGUGUAAGUAACUGCGCACAUCUUGACGGUACCUAAUCAGAAAGCCACGGCUAACUACGUG
rnacentral:rRNA from 1 species